rnacentral:lncRNA from 1 species
UGGCGAAGUCGGUUCAGCGAUACGACGAGGCUACGCGAAGAUAUUGAAGAAAAGGCCGAUUUCGGUACAGAUUGCCGCAGCUCGUGGCGUAAGCUUCCAAAAAUCACAAAACCGGAAUCGUAGCAUCGUAACAUCACCUAAAGUCUUGGAGCUAAGAGAGUCGGGGGCACGAAGGGUCGCGUGGAGCUCUCGGUGGGUUUGACCUCGCUGCAAAUGAGAAAAUCUCAUUUAUGUGGAUUUAAGUAUCGUAAAAUGAAAAAUCACGCAUUUUCAUGAAAGAUGCAUUAUUUGUGAAUUUUAGAAUGCUUGAAAUGCUUAUGUUAUAUACAAUGCAUUUUCGGACCUCUAUGUAGUAGAGAGCUUGCAUGUGAGACUUAUGCAUGGGUUUAGCAUUCUAAUUGGGACUUGGAAUCAUGCUCCAUAUAGUAGACAUGACAAAUGUAAUAUGUCUUGGACAUAAAUCUCAUUUGGACA